ACUGAACGCUGGCGGCAUGCUUUACACAUGCAAGCCGAACGGUAACAGGCCGCAAGGUGCUGACGCGUGGCGCACGGGGGAGUAAUGCACCGGAAUGUGCCCCGUCGUGGGGGGUAACUACUCGAAAGAGUAGCUAAUACCGCAUACGAUCUAUGGAUGAAAGCGGGGGACCGUAAGGCAUCGCGCGCUUGGAGCGGCCGAUGUCAGAUUAGGUAGCUGGUGGGGUAAAGGCUCACCAAGCAAGCGAUCUGUAGCUGGUCUGAGAGGGCGACCAGCCACACGAGGACUGAGACGCGCCCCAGGCUCCUGCGAGGGACCAGAGUGGAAUAUUUUGGACUAGGGGCGAAAACCUGAUACAGCAAUGCCGCGUGCAGGAAGAAGGCCGUGGGGUUGAAAACUGCUUUUGUACGGAACGAAGCGGCUCUGGUUAAUACCCGGGGCUAGUGGCGAUACCGUAAGAAUGCGCCCGGGCUAUCUGCG
rnacentral:rRNA from 1 species